rnacentral:misc_RNA from 1 species
AAUUCCAGAAUAAAGAAACUACUCUCUCAUGGUGAGUUUAGCAAACAUAAUAAAAAUGAAAUUAAAAAACAUAAGAGCAGCCUAAAGAAAUAGAACAAAGGAACUGAGGAGAAUUUAUAGAUUUGAACUUGUGGAACUUCGGCUGAGGACUCCUCCUUGAUGCUGAUGCGCUAUUUUUCAAGACGGCUUGGACAGAAUGAUAAAGAUGUAUGUGAAAAUGCUAAUGUCGUGAUCCUUUUCUCUGUUUUUUGCUGCUUCUA